rnacentral:rRNA from 1 species
CGCGGCCUAUCAGCUUGUUGGUGAGGUAACGGCUCACCAAGGCGAUUACGGGUAGCUGGUCUGAGAGGACGAUCAGCCACACUGGAACUGAGAUACGGUCCAGACUCCUACGGGAGGCAGCAGGAGGGAAUCUUGCGCAAUGGGCGAAAGCCUGACGCAGCGACGCCGCGUGGGGGAUGAAUGCCUUAGGGUUGUAAACCCCUUUCACGAGGGAAGAAACUGACGGUACCUCGAGAAGAAGCCCCGGCCAACUACGUGCCAGCAGCCGCGGUAAUACGUAGGGGGCGAGCGUUGUCCGGAUUUAUUGGGCGUAAAGGGCUCGUAGGCGGCUUGGCAAGUCGGCCGUGAAAACCCAGGGCUCAACUCUGGGACGCCGGUCGAUACUGCCAUGGCUAGGGUCCGGUAGAGGGGAAUGGAAUUCCCGGUGUAGCGGUGAAAUGCGCAGAUAUCGGGAGGAACACCAGUAGCGAAGGCGGUUCCCUGGGCCGGCACCGACGCUGAGGAGCGAAAGCGUGGGGAGCAAACAGGAUUAGAUACCCUGGUAGUCCACGCCGUAAACGUUGGGUACUAGGCGUGGCGUCUUGUCAACGGAUGCCGUGCUCGAAGCUAACGCGUUAAGUACCCCGCCUGGGGAGUACGG